GAUGAACGCUGGCGGCGUGCCUAAUACAUGCAAGUCGAGCGAACAGACGAGGAGCUUGCUCCUCUGACGUUAGCGGCGGACGGGUGAGUAACACGUGGAUAACCUACCUAUAAGACUGGGAUAACUUCGGGAAACCGGAGCUAAUACCGGAUAAUAUAUUGAACCGCAUGGUUCAAUAGUGAAAGACGGUUUUGCUGUCACUUAUAGAUGGAUCCGCGCCGCAUUAGCUAGUUGGUAAGGUAACGGCUUACCAAGGCAACGAUGCGUAGCCGACCUGAGAGGGUGAUCGGCCGCACUGGAACUGAGACACGGUCCAGACUCCUACGGGAGGCAGCAGUAGGGAAUCUUCCGCAAUGGGCGAAAGCCUGACGGAGCAACGCCGCGUGAGUGAUGAAGGUCUUCGGAUCGUAAAACUCUGUUAUUAGAGAAGAACAAAUGUGUAAGUAACUAUGCACGUCUUGACGGUACCUAAUCAGAAAGCCACGGCUAACUACGUG
rnacentral:rRNA from 1 species